GGCCCCAUAGCAUAGUGGUUAUUGUACUUCCCUAGUAAGGAAGGGGUCUCGAGUUCGAACCUCGAUGGGGCCU
rfam:Dictyostelium fasciculatum unplaced genomic scaffold Scf_ET2XIPL01COFD4-5, whole genome shotgun sequence.